UUCAGACUACAGCUUGUACCCAACGGAGACUCCGGGGUCAUUGUGGGCCAAGAUGUCGGCGGCGCGGCCAGUUCCCUCGCACACGACCACGGGGACGGGAGGGCUCUCCUGCAGGUUGAUGUGUUUCUCUAGGUCACGCCGCAGUUUCACCUCAGCGCCGUACUUGCCGACCGUCCCAUCGUCCACCAGGAGGAAAUGGGAAUGCAGAUUGUUGAGAACAUUUAGUUUGCUGAGAGGAUUCAGCAGCGUCUGAUAAGGAGCUACGAUCUGGAUCGGAGACAUAAAAAAGAGCACAUACCCGUGUUGACCCCUCCGGUCAGGAUCCAGGCCCCGGUGGUGACUGCAGCUUUGAUCAGGCCCUUUCCCACCACCUGCUUGAUGCGCGGGUGCAGCUCAAAGUUCUGAACUCCUCCAUGGACAGAAAUGAGGAUCUUGGGAAGCUCCAUGUGCCACUCCUUCAGCAUCAGCCGUAGAAUGUUCUCUGGCCGAGUGUCGUAGGCCAGGCGCGCAUACUGUUCACGUUUGUGAGGGAAUAAGACAAGGAAGCUUAUGUGAACAAAUAAACAAACAGUUAACAUUAACAUUAACCCUGACUUUCCAAAUCUAAAGCAUGUUAAAUGUC